UACGUAGGGCGCAAGCGUUGUCCGGAAUUAUUGGGCGUAAAGAGCUCGUAGGCGGUUUGUCGCGUCUGCUGUGAAAACCUAAGGCUCAACCUUGGGCUUGCAGUGGGUACGGGCAGACUAGAGUGCGGUAGGGGUGACUGGAAUUCCUGGUGUAGCGGUGGAAUGCGCAGAUAUCAGGAGGAACACCGAUGGCGAAGGCAGGUCACUGGGCCGCAACUGACGCUGGAGGAG
rnacentral:rRNA from 1 species